CGGAAAGCCAGAAAGUUCAAACCACAUGCGUUUGCCCUUUAUGUAACCUUUACACCGGAAGAUCUUGCUCGAGUAUUAUGCACAUUUGUAGGUAAUAUACAAUUUAUAGCCUGCGCCAAAAAAAUAGGAAGAAUGUCCAAAAACAGAAAGAUAGUGCUGAUAUUUGGAGGAUUUGCGACUGCAGUUGCUGCUGCAUUUUACCCCAUUUUCGUUUACCCGUUCACCCACAAAGAAGACUACAGAGAAGUCCAGAAGGUGAACCGUGCAGGAAUCAAACCGGAGGAUGUGCAGCCUGCAGGUCUGAAGGUGUGGUCUGAUCCAUUCAAGCCUUCAGACAAAUGAUUCCCGGUGACGACAACAAGGACAGAAGAUACCAGUGGAGGGGCAGUGUGCUUGUGUGAGUGAAUGAGAUUCCUCAAGCGACACCGUGAGUGAAGUAAGCAGGCUAGGGGAAAUGGAAGCGAGCGUCCAGAGGAAGAGAAGCACAUUCUUAAGGCGACGCGUCACCUACACAAACUAUGGUGACCUUUUCUGGAGGCCUUCAUGUCAGCGGUCACUCACGCAUGAGACCAGCACAUCGCACUCUGCCUGUGCCUCGGUUCGCCCAAGUCCAGAGCUUACACGUCAGUGUUUUUAUUGCGUAAGUGUGUUCACACUGAGAAGUACAGCAAAAUGCAGUGAUAACAUUAAAAAUAGCUCCAAGUAGAAAAGUAUUUUAGGGGGGCAUCAAAUCUUGUUGCUCUGAUUUUUACUUCCCCUUCCUGUUUUCCUCCAUUUGCCAUCACUUUAGUCUGAGUGCAGGCUCCCUCACCUGUCCCUGACUGGCAAUCAGGACACCGCUGUCCCUGGUUGCCAAUCAGGCUGCUUCCUAUAGGAUCCUUUUUGCUUUGUCAUUCCAUGUUGCAUAGCUUUCCAUAUGCUUCCUGUGACUGUUUUCCCUUUUUGUGCACUUUCUUUCUGCACUAUUUCCUUACCAAAUACACUUUACCUGUACUUUGCCAUCUCUGCAUUCUGGGGUCACAGCCAACACUACGGGACACUAAACGAAACACAUUGCUUGCACAUUGACUUUAGCCAAAGACUCAAAGAAUGGGCGAUAUUGAAGAAAUUUUGUACCAACAGCAUUUGGGCAUGUUUUUAUUGUGAUGCUUGUCUUUUCUUAUAUCUGAUACUGUUAGCUAACAGGUAACUUUGUUGUACGUCUUGACCACAACAACUAUAAACGUUUUAAAUUUUCCUGAGGGAACUCUCCUGAAGGAAUCAAUAAAGUACUAUCUAUCUAUCUAUAAAGCUUUGAUACAUGUGCAAAUCUUUCUUUCGGUGGCUAACAGUCUAAAAAAAAUUAAUUGUUGCAAUUUGUCUGUGGUAGA